GGCAGAACGUAUGCAACCAAUUUUCUGCAGCGCUAACCGGUUUCCCGACCAGACUCCUUCUCCUUCUCAACACCAGUGUGGCUGGAUUUUCAUGUCCUCCAUCUUUAAUCAUCACUUCCUCGUCAGCACUACCACCAAUAUCACCACUACAGACUGCACCACCAUCAAUAUCACCACUACAGACUGCACCACCAUCAAUAUCACCACUACAGACUGCACCACCAUCAAUAUCACCACUACCAUCAGCAGCACCAUCAAUAUCACCACAUAGUCUGCACCACAUCACCACUACAGACUGCACCACCAUCACCACCAGCACUACCAUCAGCACCACCAUCACCACCAGCACUACCAUCAGCACCACCAUCAAUAUCAACACUACAGACUGCACCACCAUCAAUAUCACCACUACAGACUGCACCACCAUCAAUAUCACCCCAUAGUCUGCACCACCAUCACCACCAGCACUACCAUCAGCACCACCAUCAAUAUCACCACUACAGACUGCACCACCAUCAAUAUCACCACUACAGACUGCACCACCAUCAAUAUCACCACUACAGACUGCACCACCAUCACCACCAGCACUACCAUCUGCACCACCAUCAAUAUCACCACCACCAUCAGCAGCACCAUCAAUAUCACCACCACCACUAUCAUCUGCACCACCAAUACUAUCACCACUACCA
ensembl:lncRNA